AGACAUCACUAACUUUGACUCCUCUGGGUGGGUCAGGAACAUCAGCCACAUCCAGUUCAACUGUCUUCUGAUCAAUUCCAAAUCUGUUUUUAGCACAGACCACAUAGAAACCAGCAUCUUUUCUCUCUACCCCAUUGGGGAAAACAAGUGAUGUGAAGGAUCUUGUGACAAUAACUUGGUAGUGGCCAUUAUUGUCAAUGAGAUCUUGUCCUUUCUGCCAGGUGAUCACAGGAUCUGGUUUGCCACUGAAAGGAAUCUUGAUGCUGACCACUUCACCUCGGAGAGCAUGAACUGCUCCCAUGCCUUCAAGAGUUUUAGGUUUUCACAUUUCACACGGAACUCAUAUUCAAGACCUUCAAUAAGGUUUUUCACCGAAAAGACAGUUUCUCGAAUUUCUUCUGUUGUCACAGAAAUCCAUUUAUUCUGCUUCUUCUCGCGCUUCUCAAGUGGGUAACCAGGAUGGAACUGUGGUGUUGCUUGCAGGAGAAGCUUACUACUGGUCUCUACUUCUCCAACCUCAUUGGUGGCUAUGCAGGUAUAAACACCUUCAUCUUCCUGUUCCUCUGUCAUUACUGUAAGAGUGUGUGUGCGUCCAUCUGAAGACAUUUUGUAUUUCCGGCUUUGUAUGAGUUCUUUACCAAAUCUGUACCAUUUAAUGUCAGGAAGAGGCCUUCCAACAAUCUGGCAUGAGAGUUGAGCAGCUUCACCCAAUUUGGUGGUAACAUCCUUCAUUUCUUUGCGUAUUCCUGGGGCCUCUCCAGCUGAAUGAUAUGAAAGAUAAUAUUAAGUGAUUGUUACUGCUCAAUCUGUAAUCCUUUGUCCUUGUACAUCAGGAAUGAAUUUACCUUAUUUACUAACACAUACCAUGAUUUACAUAUUAGCCUAAUUCUUAAAAACUCUUUGAAGUGAUUUUCUUAGGAUCAUAUGGUAAAUAGGGAUUCAGUGAGCACAUUGUCACAUUUUCUGUAGAAUGACUUUUUCCCUUUAUGAUUGGAAGGGAGUUAAUAAUGUAUAGGCUUUUAAGGGACUAUAAAUUCUCUCUAUAAUUCUGUACUAUUCUUGCCCUUACUUAGGUUCAUUGAAGUGGCAUACAAUUGUUGACCUUUCAAAUCUUGUUGGGAAAUAUUUUAAAAAAGAAACCAUUGCAUUUGAGGGAAUUGCUCAAGGAAAGUGCUCAGUUCACUGCAUCUAACAUCUCCUGCUGAAGUUAUGUGCUUGGAAUGGUUUCCUAUAGAACUUAUCAUAUUUCCUGUGUGUGCACUUGCUUUUCUUUCUAAACACUUGCUCUCCAAUAAAGCUUUCCAGGGUUCUACUUAGUAUAGAGGGGGAAUUAGCCUUAAUUUGUUUAGUUUGUAAAUCGUAAGUAGAGAACCAAAGGCUACUUACAUGUGAGUUUAGUCUUUAUAGACAUAGCAGUCCUUCGAGGUCUGCUCAGCCCAGUCUCAUUCUCAGCAAAAACCCUGAAUUCAUAUUCAGUAGCUUCCAGCAAACCCCCUAUUGUGAAUUGCUUGUCCUUAAUACGUUCCUUACUGCUCUUCUUCCAGGCACUGUCUCCAGACUGUCUAUAUUCAACCCAAUAUCCAAGAAUUUCUUUGCCACCAUCACAUUCAGGUUUCUCCCACUGUAGAGUGACACUAUCUUUGGAUAUUGAAAGAAUCUCAAGUUCUCCUGGUUGGCUUGGUUUAUCUGAAAUAUUGUAAAAUAAUGAAAAGGGAAUCAGCUUUACUGGUGAAAUAAAAGGACCAAACAUGGCUUGCUUCUUUAAUUUAACCCCUUCUUCUGAAUUCCUUACCAAAUGGAUCUUUGCAAACAACUGGUUCAGAAGCAGGGCUGGUCUCACUUAGGCCAACAUCAUUCUGUGCAAUGAUUCGGAACUGAUACUCAGCAUCGGGAACAAGCCCUGUGACAGUGUACAUUGUGGUAGUGAUCUGAGUCUUGUUGUGUCUGACCCACUUGUCAGUGGAUGUCUCUUUGCGUUCAAUGUAGUAGCCUGUGACUCGAGAACCACCAUCAUCUUUGGGCCGGGACCAGGACAAGCUAACAGAACUCUUGGUUACAUCGAGUACUUCCGGAGGAUUGCUUGGAGGUUCUGGAGGAUCUAUAAAUAUAAGUAGAAAGCACACAUGUAUUAGAGUACAGUCCCAAGUCUUAUAAGCCGAUGAUUUUCAUUUAAAAACAGAAAAGUGCUGAAAUAAUGUUUAUAAUUUUGUGGUUGAAAGGACACUUACUCAGUGGUGUUUUUGGUAUGACUGGUUCCUCCGAUUUUAAGGGCUUGCUUAUGCCAAACUGGUUUUCUGCUGAAACACGGAAAUGGUAUUCUACAUUCUCUUUAAGGCCUUUUACCACCAGAGAUGUACCUCGGACUCUAGAAUCAAUGGUAUACCAGGCGGCUUUAGGCACUUCUCGUCUCUCGAGGAUGUAACCUAAGAUGUCAGCACCACCAUCAUCAGCAGGAGGUCUCCAGCUGACCCUCACAGAGCGGGCUUGGAUGUCAUCAUAUUCCAGUGGCCCUUCUGGACUGUUGGGACUUCCUAUCACCCUGACCUUGAUGUAGACAGCCUUCUUGCCACAUUUAUUUUCCAGAACCAGGUCCAGGCUCGCCAGGUCCACCAGCAUUACAAGCUAGGAUGCGGAACCUGUAUUCCGCACCCUGAGAAUCAGAGGUGGAGAGAGUGGUGGAAGGGUCCAUGGACUUACGGAUGCUGCUGCGACACUCUAUGACCUCAGACUGCAAUUUAGAACCAGCAAAGAACCAGGAAGCAGCAGGAGGUGGACGGCCAGCAAUAGGUAUCACCAGCUCUACUGGUCUGCCAGCUGGGACAUGGAUGGUCUUCUGAGGCAUUGUAGAAAGAUCGAUUGUUGGCAACACUAUGGGAAACAAAUCAGAUGAUAGCCAAUGACUCUGCUUCCUCCAUCACUGACCGGCUCAUUCCAUUGUACUUCCAUGCUGUCCCUGGAGGACAGUGUGACAAGUGGAGUGCCAGGAGGACCAGGAACUUUGAAUGGAUAUUGGGCUACAAUAGGCU